GAGGAGGAGAUAUCUUCUCACUGGCUACGGUGACUGAAAUGGGCCAGCGCCACAGGGAAGGUUUUUAGCGAUCCUUGGCUCCCAGCAGAGAAUAAGACUCUUCCAGUGGUGUUUGUGAGGCUUAAAAAGGACCAGUGUUUGGGAGAGAGGGAGCAGAGGUAGAAGACAUUGAGCCAAUGAAGCAGAGUGAAACUAAGAUCCAGAAAAAGAAUGAGAAUGAUUUUUUCUGGAGAUCACAGUGGUUUGUGAAGGGGCCGAUAAGAUGUCUGGUGAAGAGUAUGUCUGUAGAGAGAAUCCACAUCUCUGUAUCCAAGCUGGUGCAAUAAUUAAUCUUUCGUGAUUCUGACAGUUGCUUACAGAGUAGCAGAAACGAAAGCUCACACUCUGGCUGUGAUUAAUACAUCAUUAGUUGUCAGACUAAGGAUUUUGGAAGUGGGUAAAUAAGCCCUAGGCCAGUUGAUUGUGUCUAAGAAAACUGCGGAGGAUUACAGGGUUGGGGGGAGCUGGGACUCAGCAUUUGUUUACCACAGGCAGUUACUAUGUUUUGUUCCUUGUCUGAAACCACUCUGUUCCCACAGCGGGAGAAGAGGAGGAGAAAUGGGCAUAUGAUUUCUGAAACAAAGCUCUGCCUCAAGCCUCUGCUAUUCUGAAAAAAUGACAAAAGACCCAGCUGACCACAGUCCAUGUUGCCCUGGCUUCCUUGUGGGAUACGUAGGAAGCUGGGCCCUGACUGCAGUCUGCUACCCUUGUCCGGGACAUGAUGCAAAAUGUCUGCUGUGGAGAAAAACAGCUCUUGCUGUAUAGAUUCACAGAGUGACACAAAGCAAACCAGGCUCUGCAAGUCCGGCUUCUUUCGGGAACUGCUCAGUACCCGCAAGGGCCUCUGGUCUGCGCUGUGGAAGAGGCUGCUCAGAACCUCCCAGGGCCGCGCUCUGUGCCAUGGAAAUACGGAGCCAUGGUCGUCAGCUGAUGUAAAUUGGUGUAGCUCCAUUGAUGUCUAUCCAGUAUACACAAGCUGAAAAUACGGCUUAGAGUAAAUGAAUCAUGCUGCUGAAAUGCAGCCAGCUUUAAAACAUACCUGUCCCGUGGGGGUGCUGUGAAGUGAAAGUCGCUUCCACCCUUUUUGGCUGAUAAUUCACAAAUGAGCCACUAAUCUGGCAUGGCAUAAAGGCUGCAGUGUAAUGUAUGAGUCACUUUACCCACUCGAAAAUGUCACCAGUUGUGGAGAGAGACGCGGCAGCUGCUUAGUGGCGCGUAACCCAUGUGGUAGAGAUGGUCCUAUUAUUUAUAUAGCUCCAUAAAUGAACCUGGUGCUUUGCAAAAUAACAGCUCUUCCUUGAGCAGUUUACAACGCCGUUUACUCCUGAGCGAGACAAGGGCAGCUGCUGGCUCGACCGCCACGAGCCCAUUGACGUUGCGAGGAAAGCUCCCAGCUGCUCCAAGGGCCGCAGGAGCGAGCCCUGUGAGGAGGAAAGCACGGUGUCACCGAGGCCACUGAUACCUGGCAGAGGAUGGGGAAGGAGAUGGGUGAGUGUCUGCUGGGUGGAGGAAGCCAUCCUCAGUUGCUCCAU
ensembl:lncRNA